ACGUUACCGAACACCUAAUAUGUGACGUCGUCUUUGAAAACCGGUCCAGAUGCGGCAUGACGUAAUAUCGAGAAACGACGUUUAAAGUUGCGCCAAGUUUACGCGCGCAGCUUUCUUACACAUGUUUUAAUUAGCAAAAGUUUGACCGUUAAAGUAUGACUGCUUGUUACGUGAUUGAUAACAUCCUACUAGAGAAAGAAUAUUUAGACAUCAGACCUGUAAAAAAAUAGUGGUAUUACGCCUGAGACAAAAUAUUUCGUUCAAAAUCAGUUGUUUCCCCUUCGCUACUGUAUGUUUCCGGUUUCGGAUUUUAUCAGGGAAGCAUGUGAAGUUUACUUUUGUUUAACUUCCUUUUGUUCAACGAUGUAGGGAUCUGAGACUUUUAAUACUGUUUACUGAUUUGAUAAUAUUCCUUGUUCCUUUGAUGGUUCAUUCCACUACAGCUGGUUCAUAUACCCUACAACAGCCAGGAAAAUUGGUCUGUUUACUUUAAGAAGAUCUGAAGAAAAUGUAACAUAUUUUGGAUGUGCUUUGAGGAAUCAGGAAGGCAAGUGUUUCCUCUUGUUUAUGAAAGCAGCUCAGUUGGUUAAGGGGCAGACAACUUGUGAGCAUGGUACAUCACUACCUGUAUUGGUAUUCCAUUUUGACAAUGCUGCUAGCUAGAAUAGAAAUAACAUCUUGCUGCGGUAUGGUCUGUGGAGAGAUUUACUAGGAUAUCACAGAUCGAUUGAAUAUUCAACAAUGAUCACAGACCAUGCAAAGUUUGAAUCUGACUUGCACUUUUGAAUUCAGAAGUAUCUGUGGAGGAGGGUGAAUGCUGAGACCUUAAAUAAUACAUGAUAUUGCUGACACAGUGUGUCAGUCAUCAAAGAAAGGUCAUAACAUUGCACAGUUGGUCAACAAUGAUUUAAAUCCUGUCACAUUCUGCCAGUGGAGAAAUAUCUUAUCACAAUAUUUUAAACUUUUGAAGAAGAUAACCAAGUAUUACCACUUUAUCACGUAUGCAGAAACACCUGGAUUGUUAGUGUUAAAAGUGACAGUCCAGUUGAGACAGUUAACUUACUAAAAUCUACUCCCCCUUGCCAAACGAAUAUUAUUGACAUGGAAUGACACAAGCCGACAAUGGUACCUGUAUGAACUCCUAAGAGAAUAGUAUUUGUCUGAAAAGUCAAAGGAUUCUGUUUGUCCCAGACCACUUGAACUGAAAACUGAAAUUGUGA